GGGGUUGUGGCUCAGUGGUAGAGCGCUCGUCUAGCACGUGUGAGGCCCUAGGUAAGAUCCUCAGCACUGCAUAAAAAUAAAGAAAUAAAAUAAAAGGUUUUUAAAAAUGUGAUAAAACUAGAGAUUCAGGGCUAACCAUAGAGCACUUGCCUAGCAUAUGUGAGGCCUGGGUUCAAUUCUCAGCACCACA
rnacentral:tRNA from 1 species